AAGCCGUCGCUGGCCCUUUCAAAGAGGUUUUGUCAGAAACUCGAAAUAAAUUAUCAGCAACGGCGACGUAUUCGACGUUCAAACCUCGAUCCGCCGUCGACGAUGGCAUGGUGCAGACGAAGCCACUUCGGGGCCAAAUUUCUCUCUCCACUCCUCUCUCUCCGCCACGCUGGCUUCUUUGUUUCUUCUCCAACCCAGCUCCGGCACCGUUGACCUCUUCUCCUCCCUCUUCUUCUCCUUCCAUAGCGACCACCGACCUGCCUCCUCCGAAGCCUUCUCCCGCCUUCAUCGGGGUCAAUUUCUUUUUUUUUCAUAAGAGGACGAAAAGGUGUUAAAGAGCACAACUUGGUCCAGUCCAUACUUGGCAGUAACCCGUGAAAACAACAGUUAGUGCUGCCAAGGGUCUGGAAUAUCUUUGUAAAAAAGCAGAACCUCAUAUCAUCCACUCUGAUAUUAAGUCGAGCAAUGUAGUGAUAUUUGAUAAUGAUGCAAUGCAGCAAAGAUUGCUGACUUUGAUUUGAUAAAUCAAGCUCCUGAUGGCAGCACGCCUUCAUUCAACUGGGGUCCUUGGAACAUUUGGAUAUUAUGCGCCAAAAUGUGUUUUAUACGCACACAUCCCUAUUCUAAUUUCCUAUUUCUUUUCUCUCACAUUCUCAAUUUGCAACUACUCUUGAUUGUUUUGUUACCGGCAGAUAUGCAAUGACCGGACAACUAAACUCAAUGAGCGAUGUGUAUAGCUUUGGUGUUGUCCUGCUGGAGCUUUUAACUGGUGGUAAACCUGUUGAUCACACAUUACCCCGCGGACAGCAAAGCUUAGUCACAGGCUACACCAAAGCUGAGUGAAGACGAAGUCUGGUAAUGCAUUGUUGCCAAGGUUAUUAUUGACUCUUUAAUUAUCCAAACUGCAAUUUAUACAUGGAUGCAUAUGUUCAUAUUUAGAUUGUCCACUAAUUAUGUAAGCUUGAGUUUCAUUACUCUUGGAUGCCAAUGGCCUGCUGAAUCUCAUCCUCUUGAAAGGCCUUCGAGGCAAUUGCUUUUCACCAGUGUGUAUGAUAAGUCGGCCCUUAACGACACUCUUGGUACAUUUUGCAAGUUUUGAUGCUAAUUUUGAAUCUUUCGUAAGUUUGAUCCAACUUGUAUAAUGUGUUUUUUAUCUUAUUUAUUGUCAUAAGGUGUUUGUUAUACCAUUACAGAGUCUUGAAUGUUUUUAGUGACACGUUAUAAGAGCGGCCGUUGAAGACGCCGAAGAUGAUCCGGCAACUGCCGACUACUGCAGUUGAUAGACUAGAGAGGCCAUGCCUUGAUGCUUUAAGUCUCAAGAAAAGUUUAUUAUUAGCUAACUUAGAUAAGAUUAAUGUAAAAUAUAUAUAUCUUUCCGGUUGUACUUAAAGAUCGUUGUCUUUGUACCAGAUUUAGGCAUCCAAGCACAGGAGAAAACAUGCAAUUUUAUCAAAUGCCACCUGCAAACUUUGCUGAAAUUUUGGACUAACUCCGAGACAUUAGGACCAAGAAGAUAACUUUCUCAGUUAACUUUGUCUGAUUUCGUUCGUGCUAUGUAUCUUCUAUGACUUUGAAAUUUCCAGGUGAAGUAAAUGGCCAUUGAGAUCAGUUCUGGUUGAAGAUAUUUGUUGCAGAAUAGAGCCAUGAUGUAGACUAAAUUGUAAAGUAUACAAACACAAGAAUUGUAUGAAAAUUCCGACAAUA